UCUCCCACAGGGCCAUGAGUCCUACCCAGGAAUAAACCACUCCGGCGUGGAUUUUCCUCUCCACAGGCCACAAGUCUCUUGAAGGACUCUGCUCUCCUGGGCCUUCCACAGGGGGAUUGCAACAAAAAAUCCUCCUCCUAGCCUGCUCAGAAAGCUGCCAUCUGCUGUAAGACCUGGAACCACUGUCAUAAGUUCCAGUAUCCACUAAAAAUGAUGAAGAUCAGAGAAAAAGAAAAAUGUGCUUCUGGCUAAGACUGUUAUAUAAAAGGAAAGAAUAUGAAGAGAUCUCUAUAGUCAGCAAAGGAAGAAACAAGAUAUCAUUUGCUGCACUAUAUAGAAACAAAUGUCCUUCCAGUUAGGACCAAGUAACCAAGAAAUCAAGAAUGACAAUGUUUUGAUCUCAAGGAGUGUGUCUAUGUCCUCCAACAGACCAGCACAGAAGUCUUCAUCUCCUGUUCUGUUUCCACACCUUCAGGUCAGCCCACAGUCUCUCUUUGCAAGUACGCACAGCAAGACACAAACACAAGGUGGGAUUCAGCUGACCAGUACAAAGGGUAUUUUUUUUCCACUCAGAAGACUCUCAGCUUCAUCACAUGGCUCCUUCCGCUGGUAUGUGAAACAUCAACUUGCAGAGCACUCAGCACAGCAGGUAAAGGAGGGAGGACGGAUUCUGCACUUAAUGGUUCAUCUUUCUACACAGCCAUGUCAGCACUUUGCAGAAGUGAGGUUUCAAUUUUUGCUUAAAAUAUGGAUCCAGUAAUGCUGCCAACUUCCAUUUAUCUCUGUCAUUGAGCUUGUUGGCCACAGCAGGCGAGGACACAAUUCAACAGCUACUUCUCUUCACUGGUGUUCAAACCACAGAUCCCUUUAUUUUAACACAGGAUGCUGUUUAUUCCAGCAAAUGGCAACAAAGUUAGACUCAGUGGUUGGACUCAAUGACCUUAUAGGUAUUUUCCAACCCAAAUGAUUCUAUGAUGAAAGCCAUAGUAUCAAAAUUUGAGGAGAGACAUUUAAUGGAGUAGAGCAGUCCUAUGAAUUUCUUUCUCAGUGAUGUGAACUUUCCUACUUAACUGUAAAGUAUUAACAUACAUUGAGAGGGAUAAUUAAUGCCCUGCAGAAAGCCCCUUUAAAGGACUUAGAUCAAAUAGUCUCCUGGCUAUGCAUCACCAAGGAAGAGGAAUUACUAAGGUCUACAAAAAAGAUCAGAGGAAAAAGAUCUCUCUGUUAAGAGAGGACUAGAGGAUCUUGGUCUACUCAGUGUAAUAAAACAAACUGGGAAAAGAGACAGAUGAGAAUCCAUUUGGGCAAAAAAAUAAAUCUGGGGAGUGAGAAGAAAUACCUAAUAUAAAGGUCCUGACAGUCACCAAAGACAGGUUCAAAAUAAGCUGCGGAAAAUGUAAGCAACAGAGACACAAGGAGCUUUUCUUUUUAGGCGAUGCUUUGUUGUGGUGGCACGGGUGCAUUCCACACACACGUUUGCACGUUCUGGUGCAAACCAUCUAGCCUUGCUUAGGAAGGACAAGAGGAAUGUACUGGGGAAGGGAAAAUAGGGGGUGAAGACAUGACAUGGAACUCUUCUCACCUGACAAAGCGCAUUGCUGUAAGAUUUACUUGUUGUCUUCAUACACAGAGAAGAAAAAUAGGCAUUUAAGGUUUGAUUCACCUGACUAGUUUCAAGCACUAAUACUGGGAUAAGAAACUGCAAACUAGACAACUGCACAGUGUCAGUGAAAUAUUCCUUGGGAAGUUUUGACGGAAGUUAGGUACAACAUGUUUGUUUAUGGGAGAGGGAGUGGGAGGUUGUAAGAUUUUACUUUAUUAAUAUUAGGCACAUGUACAUAGAUAUGAAAGCCUAAGUGAGAUUUAGGCAAGAUAAUAUAUAUCUAAUGAAGCAAGCACUUUUUGGAGAACAUUUCUGGAGGAGACAGGAUAGCUAGUAAAUUUUGCUUUCACUGAGAAAUAGUUAGGUUUUUUAAUAUAAAUAUGGGCUCGUUUCAAGGUUGGUGGGUACAAGUAAUUAUAUUUUAUGGAGAUAACAGAUUAAACUUUCAACACCCAUAUCCAGUCAGCUGCAAUGUAAGAGCUAAUAAUAACUGUCCUUGGGAAGAUUCAAAGUAACAUUCAGAAAAAUCAGAAAAAGCCAGCACUGACAUUUCUGAAAUAGUCAAGAAAAAAUAAUUGCUGUGAAUAAACAAACAAAAAGAAAGAAUAUCUUUGUGUUCCAGAAAGAGACAAAGCAUAAGUCCAAUUAAAGAAAAAAAUCCUUUAUAGGUCACCUCAGGAAGGAAGAGCUCACAGUCGCCAGUAAAAUAAAAAAUGCAGUAAGGAGAAAAAAAGUUUGGGAGGAAAAAAGUUUGAAAGGAAAACAGUAUGAACUACAAAUAAAAGCUGCCAAGUUAGAAAAAGAGCAAUAAUUGCUUUGCAUGAGCUCCAACACUUUAAUAUCCAAAAGAGGGGAGUAAUGAUGGCAGAAAUUGGUAAGAGAAGACAGAUCACUUGAGUAUGUUUGAAGAUGAAAAUCUGAAGUGAUAGAAGACUUUCUGGCAUAGCAUUUAGACAAAGAAAUAAAUGACAUUGACAAUACACUGCUGAAGAUGGCACUUAGAGGCAAGGAGCUUGGCAAGAAAGCACAAACUGUUUUGACUGAUUACUUCUUUCUUUUUCUUAAAUAAACAUGCUUAAAUUUGGUCAGAAACUAGUACUAGCUAGUGUCUGUGACAGUUCAGGUACUUAACAUGCUCAAAUUCAUGGAUUUUUCAC